AGAGCGAACGCUGGCGGCAGGCUUAACACAUGCAAGUCGAGCGCCCCGCAAGGGGAGCGGCAGACGGGAGAGUAACACGUGGGAACGUACCUUUCGGUUCGGAACAACCCAGGGAAACUUGGGCUAAUACCGGAUACGUCCGUAAGGAGAAAGAUUUAUCGCCGAAAGAUCGGCCCGCGUCUGAUUAGCUAGUUGGUGAGGUAACGGCUCACCAAGGCGACGAUCAGUAGCUGGUCUGAGAGGAUGAUCAGCCUCACUGGGACUGAGACACGGCCCAGACUCCUACGGGAGGCAGCAGUGGGGAAUAUUGGACAAUGGGCGCAAGCCUGAUCCAGCCAUGCCGCGUGGGUGAUGAAGGCCCUAGGGUUGUAAAGCCCGUUUCGGCGGGGAAGAUAAUGACGGUACCCGCAGAAGAAGCCCCGGCUAAUUUCGCGCCAGCAGCCGC
rnacentral:rRNA from 1 species